rnacentral:rRNA from 1 species
GUGCCAGCCGCCGCGGUAAUACCGGCAGCACAAGUGAUGGCCAAUCUUAUUGGGCCUAAAGCGUCCGUAGCUGGCUGAGCAGGUCCGUCGGGAAAUCCACGCGCUCAACGCGUGGGCGUCCGGCGGAAACCACUCGGCUUGGGACCGGAAGGCUCGAAGGGUACGUUCGGGGUAGGAGUGAAAUCCCAUAAUCCCGCAAGGACCACCGAUGGCGAAAGCACUUCGAGAAAACGGAUCCGACAGUGAGGGACGAAAGCUGGGAUCUCGAACCGGAUUAGAUACCCCGGUAGUCC